rnacentral:rRNA from 1 species
CCUACGGGGGGCAGCAGUGAGGAAUAUUGGUCAAUGGGCGGGAGCCUGAACCAGCCAAGUCGCGUGAAGGAAGAAGGUACUUAGUAUUGUAAACUUCUUUUGUCGGGGAACAAAGGCGGAGACGCGUCUCCGGAUGAGUGUACCCGAAGAAAAAGCAUCGGCUAACUCCGUGCCAGCAGCCGCGGUAAUACGGAGGAUGCGAUGGUUAUCCGGAUUUGUUGGGUUUAAAGGGUGCGCAGGCGGGAGAUCAAGUCAGCGGUAAAAUGUCGGGGCUCAACCCCGGCCGGCCGUUGAUACUGGUUGUCUAGAGUUGGAGAGAGGUAUGCGGAAUUCGUGGUGUAGCGGUGAAAUGCAUAGAUAUCGCGAAGAACUCCGAUGGCGAAGGCAGCAUACCGGCUCCAAACUGACGCUGAGGCACGAAAGCGUGGGGAUCGAACAGGAUUAGAUACCCGAGUAGUC